GAGUUUGUGACUAGGCUCGCCCGUAAUA
rnacentral:sRNA from 1 species